ensembl:lncRNA
AAUUUCUUGGUGAGGAAUAGUUCUCACAGGAAAGGAUGUGCACCUCUGUUUCUACCUCCCGUUGUGCAGCAACCACAAACACAGCAGGUAGUCUAGUGGUUAGAGUGUUGGACUAGUAACCAGCAGGUAGCCUAGUGGUUAGAGCGUUGGACUAGUAACCAGCAGGUAGCCUAGUGGUUAGAGCGUUGGACUAGUAACCAGCAGGUAGCCUAGUGGUUAGAGCGUUGGACUAGUAACCAGCAGGUAGACUAGUGGUUAGAGUGUUGGACUAGUAACCAGCAGGUAGUCUAGUGGUUAGAGCGUUGGACUAGUAACCAGCAGGUAGCCUAGUGGUUAGAGCGUUGGACUAGUAACCAGCAGGUAGCCUAGUGGUUAGAGUGUUGGACUAGUAACCAGCAGGUAGUCUAGUGGUUAGAGUCUUGGACUAGUAACCAGCAGGAAGCCUAGUGGUUAGAGUGUUG